CGUGGUGGCUCAAGCCUGUAAUCCCAGCACUUUGGGAGGCCAAGGCAGGCGAAUUACGAGGUCAGGAGUUCGAGACCAGCCUGGCCACCAUGGUGAAACCCCAUCUCUACUAAAAAUACAAAAAAUUAGCUGGGCAUGGUGGAACGCACCUAUAGUCCCAGCUACUUGGGAGGCUGAGGCAGGAGAAUUGCUUGAACCCGGCAGGUGGAAGGUUGCAAUGAGCUGAGAUUGCACCACUGCACUCCAGCCUGGGUGACAGAGCGAGACUCCAUCUCAAAAACAACAACAACAACAACAACAACAACAAAAAGACUUUGUUUUUUAUUCUUAUCUUUAGUCCUUCACCCAAGGACAAUUUCCUUGUCGCCGCCUGCCCCUACCACCAACCCCAUGAUGUCUUCCUCCUUUCCUCAGUGCUCAGGAGACCCAAGAAAAUGACUCCUUGAGAAAAAUCUCCAAAUUCAUGCACAACUGGCUCCUUCUCUUGGAAUCACCCAGGGCUCCCACUUGGGCCCUCUUGAAGAUUUGCUUCCGGGAGGCUGUGAGUGGUAAGGUCAGUCAUGGCUGGACCCUUCUCCUGUCACCACAAGAUCCUCCUCAGCUCCAUCCCGGCUUCAUCUCUAACCCACUGGGGAAUCCCAGCUCUGAAAAGCAAGCAAUGGAAGGAAAUACGAGGGAAAUUGACAUCAGACAUCAGAAAGUAAUUCGUGCCUAGGAUGCAGGUGGAAUCUUCUGCUUUGAAGCAUACCCUGUGGCAACGCGACCUCCCUGGGAACCUCUCCUAUCUACCUUCAGUCCCUAUGCAUCCGCUUCCUCCCAAUUCCUCUUGCCCUCACUCAUCAUAAGCAUAUGAGGAGGCUUUGGGAGGACAGUCUUAGUUGGAACAAGGUGAGUCAUGAGUUGAGGAGAUUGUGUCUCAGCCUUCCUUUCUCUGAAAUGGGCCAUCAGUUUGAUGGUAAGUGGAAGCUAGGUGGAAUAACAAAAGGUCCUCUCCAACUCUCACUUUCCUUUUGCUUCAAAGGGAAUAGGUAAAGGAGGAGCAGGGAGGAAGCAACAUGAAGACCGA
rnacentral:lncRNA from 10 species